rnacentral:lncRNA from 1 species
UUGUGGUGAGGGAAUAGACUGCUGUGAGUUCAAAUAAGGAAGAAGAAGAUUACAUGAAGGUUGGGUGGUUGAUGAAGGAGGGAGAUAGGUGGAUUUCUUGUUGAAGGUUGUCGUGAGGGAAGAGAAGAUAUGAUGAUAGUUAUAUGGAGUUGAAGGGUGAAGAGAAAGAAAAGAGGUUUAAGUUUUUAUUUUUAUUUUUUGGAGUGAGAGAUGUGAGAGAUGUGAUAUGUAAGUGAAAGAGAUGAUGAUGAAUAUUGGUGUAGCAGAAGAAAUUGAUGUGAAGGAGGAAGAAAAG